rnacentral:rRNA from 1 species
ACGAACGCUGGCGGCACGCUUAACACAUGCAAGUCGAACGAGAGAAGAGAAGCUUGCUUUUCUGAUCUAGUGGCGGACGGGUGAGUAACACGUGAGCAAUCUGCCUUUCAGAGGGGGAUACCGAUUGGAAACGAUCGUUAAUACCGCAUAACAUAAUUGAACCGCAUGAUUUGAUUAUCAAAGAUUUAUCGCUGAAAGAUGAGCUCGCGUCUGAUUAGCUAGUUGGUAAGGUAACGGCUUACCAAGGCGACGAUCAGUAGCCGGACUGAGAGGUUGAUCGGCCACAUUGGGACUGAGACACGGCCCAGACUCCUACGGGAGGCAGCAGUGGGGAAUAUUGCACAAUGGAGGAAACUCUGAUGCAGCGAUGCCGCGUGAGGGAAGAAGGUUUUAGGAUUGUAAACCUCUGUCUUCAGGGACGAAAAAAGACGGUACCUGAGGAGGAAGCUCCGGCUAACUACGUGCCAGCAGCCGCGGUAAUACGUAGGGAGCGAGCGUUGUCCGGAAUUACUGGGUGUAAAGGGAGCGUAGGCGGGAUCGCAAGUCAGAUGUGAAAACUAUGGGCUUAACCCAUAAACUGCAUUUGAAACUGUGGUUCUUGAGUGAAGUAGAGGUAAGCGGAAUUCCUAGUGUAGCGGUGAAAUGCGUAGAUAUUAGGAGGAACAUCAGUGGCGAAGGCGGCUUACUGGGCUUUAACUGACGCUGAGGCUCGAAAGCGUGGGGAGCAAACAGGAUUAGAUACCCUGGUAGUCCACGCCGUAAACGAUGAUUACUAGGUGUGGGGGGACUGACCCCUUCCGUGCCGCAGCAAACGCAAUAAGUAAUCCACCUGGGGAGUACGACCGCAAGGUUGAAACUCAAAGGAAUUGACGGGGGCCCGCACAAGCAGUGGAGUAUGUGGAUUAAUUCGAAGCAACGCGAAGAACCUUACCAGGUCUUGACAUCGUAUGCAUAGCUCAGAGAUGAGUGAAAUCUCUUCGGAGACAUAUAGACAGGUGGUGCAUGGUUGUCGUCAGCUCGUGUCGUGAGAUGUUGGGUUAAGUCCCGCAACGAGCGCAACCCUUACUGUUAGUUGCUACGCAAGAGCACUCUAGCAGGACUGCCGUUGACAAAACGGAGGAAGGUGGGGAUGACGUCAAAUCAUCAUGCCCCUUAUGACCUGGGCCUCACACGUACUACAAUGGCUGUCAACAGAGGGAUGCAAAGCCGCGAGGUGGAGCGAACCCCUAAAAGCAGUCUUAGUUCGGAUUGUAGGCUGCAACCCGCCUACAUGAAGUCGGAAUUGCUAGUAAUCGCAGAUCAGCAUGCUGCGGUGAAUACGUUCCCGGGCCUUGUACACACCGCCCGUCACGCCAUGGGAGUCGGUAACACCCGAAGCCUGUAGUCUAACCGCAAGGAGGACGCAGUCGAAGGUGGGAUUGAUGACUGGGGUG